CUCAGUCAGCAGGCAUUUAUUAAAGACACAUGCUGGCUUUGAAUACUCCAUUUUAUUAAUCCAUAACGUAUGAAACAAAUGCAGAACAAGGCAAUUCAUAACAAGGUGCAAAAUAAUUAGUCCAGCUCUUCCAAGAAAACCUUUCAAAACACACAUCAAACAUUCUUCUCUUCGUAUAGGUUAAAACGUUGCACGCCUUAGCACAUCUAUACAUAGUCUGAAUGCUUUCCCACAGUUCUCACAAAUUCGGAAUUAUUUAUACAAAGCACACAAAUUUUAACAUGUGCGUGUGUUCCUUUAAUUCGUGACUUUGCUUGGGAAUGACAGUUAAACAGAAAAAGAAGAGAUGAAUGAAAUCAUCUGACAAAUGGCAGAAUGUCUCAUUCACAUACAGCAGAUGGGGCGCAUUGCAACACCCCGCGCACUGACUAAGAGACAUGCAGCUCUGCUCUACAAAAAUGAAACAGAAGGGCACUUUGAUCAUCAAGCUCAAGAACACUUUCACCUCAUUAAAUGUGG